UAACUACUACUUCCGUCCGGAAUUGCUUGACGCUCAAAUGGAUGUAUCUAGACGUAUUUUAGUGCUAGAUACAUCCAUUUGAGCGUCAAGUAAUUCUGGACGGAGGGAGUACUAU
rfam:Triticum aestivum genome assembly, contig: Triticum_aestivum_CS42_TGACv1_scaffold_363130_4DS